rnacentral:misc_RNA from 1 species
AAGGAUCAUUAUUGAAUAAAUCUGAUGUGGUUGUAGCUGACUCUCCGGAGUAUGUGCACACCCGUCACCUUUAUCUUUCCACCUGUGCACACACUGUAGUCCUGGAUACCUCUCGCCGCAAGGCGGAUGCGGAGUUUGCGUCAGCUUACUCUGAAUUUCCAGGUCUAUGAUUUUACAAACCCCAAUUGAAUGUUACAGAAUGUUAUCAUCAGGCCUUGUGCCUAUAAAUUUAUACAACUUUCAGCAACGGAUCUCUUGGCUCUC